rnacentral:rRNA from 1 species
GACGGGACCCGCACAAGCGGUGGAUGAUGUGGAUUAAUCGAUGCAACGACGAAAACCUUACCUACCCUUGACAUGUCCGGAAUCCCGAAGAGAUUUGGGAGUGCUCGCAAGAGAGCCGGAACACAGGUGCUGCAUGGCUGUCGUCAGCUCGUGUCGUGAGAUGUUGGGUUAAGUCCCGCAACGAGCGCAACCCUUGUCAUUAGUUGCCAUCAUUUGGUUGGGCACUCUAAUGAGACUGCCGGUGACAAACCGGAGGAAGGUGGGGAUGACGUCAAGUCCUCAUGGCCCUUAUGGGUAGGGCUUCACACGUCAUACAAUGGUCGGUGCAGAGGGUUGCCAACCCGCGAGGGGGAGCUAAUCCCACAAAGCCGGUCGUAGUCCGGAUCGCAGUCUGCAACUCGACUGCGUGAAGUCGGAAUCGCUAGUAAUCGCGGAUCAGCAUGUCGCGGUGAAUACGUUCCCGGGUCUU